GGGCUAACAUAGCAAAUGCCAUAACAUCUUUUCAAUUGAGGGGUGAACCAUAUCGUCAAUCACCAAAACCUUUUGAACAUAUAUGACACUUGGAUAAACACCAAUACUAUGUCAAAUGCUUAAAGUAUGACACCUCAUUGAAUAAAUAUGUGCAUAUAUGUGCCUGUGCAAGCGCGCCCGUGAGUAACAGAGUGAGAGAGAGAGAUAAUAUACUUCAGAAAUUUCAUGCCCAACAUU
rnacentral:misc_RNA from 1 species